GCUGCGUUUCAUGGAGAGUCCUAAGUCUUAAGUUUGUCCUAAGUCAAAAAUUGUCACAAUUUUGCGUUUCAAAGAAAGUCUUAAAAAAGGUCCUAACUUAUGACUCCUAAAUUUAGGACCAAAAACAGUCCUAAGUCUAGGAGUGUUUUUAAGGUAUCUUUAGAUUGUCCUAAGUCAAAAUCAUUCCGAAAUCCAACAUGGCAGCGUUCAUGAUACUGUUUCAAAGAAGGAGGGCCCUGCGCCGGGAGAAAGUUUUCAGGGACAGGUCACAGGCGCUGUACGUCUAUACUGACGACGAAUUGAUUAGCCGUUAUAGGUUUCCAGGCAAUCGAUCUUGGAAAUCACCGAUUCUGUGAAAGGUGAUAUUGAGAGGCCAUCGUUUAAGGGUCAUGCUAUUCCUGCACAUAUUCAGGUAAUUAAAACGGUUUCUUUAAUAUUAUCAUACUUAAUAUUUAGCUAUUUAUAGCCUUUAUCAAAUUUUGUAAACGUAUGAAAUGUAAAACUUUAGGUUACCACCGCUCUUCAUCGAGGAGAAACGAGCACCUGUUCAAGUUGUUUACAGUGGGCGGGUUACAGUAGCGUUACUGAAGAUUAUAACUCUAUUUAACAAUUUAAAAUCUUUAAAAAGACUUUAGUUUGUAAAGUUAUCUGGAUGGUUUAUGAACAAUAUUUUGCCAAGCUUAUAAGACAAUUAGUGCGGAAGGCGCGUUUCAAAAUGGACGACUUGUCAAGAUGUUGGAACUGAAAGAAAAACUCACGUUGUGUUUACAGUAAUGAACUGAUGAAAAUAUUAAAUAAACGCAAAAAAAAUGAAACAUUAUAUCAACUUCUGAAAGAUGCCUAUGGAACUUUUAUAGAGGUCAUAAAGGAUCUACUGAUGAUGUCUUUCUUCAAUGAAUUACUUGACAUAUGAAAUGGGGGAAAAGGCACUAUCUAUAACAAUCUACAAUAAGUUAAAAAGAAACUAAGACAAGGCAAUAUAGUUUAUCCUUUAUCAGUUCUUAACACACUGGACUACAGACCACAUUUAAUUGCAUAUUAUCAGUCUAUCAAGACAAUGCGAAACAAAAAAAAGAAAACCUUUAUCGCUUUUAUUCACUGGAGAAAGAGAAACUCAAAUCAGAUGUAUUCAAAGGAAACACACAACAUACAUAUGUCAAUAUUGAAUCAAUGAAGAUGGCAGUUGAAACAAACCAUAUACAUCCAUCGUGAAUCAAGGAAGAAACUGGAAACCAACUUGUUUAUAUCUAAGAACUAUGAAGAAGAAACUGGAAAUAAAUCAAAAAGUGUUUGUCUUCAAUAAAAGAAGAAGAAAGUGGAAAGAUAUCAAUUCAAGUUAAUUUUAAUCAACAAGUCAAUAUACAUGAUAUAUACAUUUAUCUAGUACUACUAACUGCCAUCACAAAAGAUGAGCACAGGGCUAUAAAGAAAUUGGAACUAAAGCAAUGUGCCGUAUUUAUUAUUAAAUGCAGCUGUAAAGCUAUGAAUGAAGCUGCAAAUGAAAAAAACAACACUUUUUGUCAUACGUUUGUGUUAGAAUCAACCAACUUUACAGUAAUAACGAUCAACAUCACUAAAUUAUAGGAAAAAUGAUUCACAUCACUGUAUAGCUAUGCACCUGGGACUUUGCAUGUGGAUUUUUUUCAGUUUUGUUACAGUUAUUGCCAUUGACUUACAGUAGUAUAAAUUUGCAAUUUUCAACUUGUUUAUGCAUAGCUCAAAAAGUAUUUCACUUGUAUGCUUGAAAGUUAACAAGAAUGUUGGUCAGCAUGUGUUCUUAUGCACCUUGGGGUUUGCUUGUGGAUUUAUUCAGUAUUUGUAAAAUUCUUGCCCUUUUACUUAGUAAAAGAUUUUUAGUUUUCAAAAAAAUAUUUGACCUACAGUCCUAAGAUUGACAGAACAGUGGCGCAGUGGGGGCACCCGUGUCCUAUGGACACAUUUCUAGUUUAGAAAGAAAUUAAAGUGAUUUUUAAUUGGUAGAAAUGCACAACAUACUCAAAGUUCAUAGGAUAUUAAAAUAAUUUGUAUAUGCAUGUCAAUGUUAUCUGCAAUCAUGUUACUUUUAAGGAACACUUGAAUUUGUUAAAAGUUUGACAUUUAUUAAAAUAAUCAAACAUUGAA